AGUGGGAUGACGUCAAGUCCUCAUUGGCCUUUAUGUCUAGGGCUACACACGUGCUACAAUGGGUGGUACAAAGAGCAGCUAACUCGCGAGAGUAUGCAAAUCUCAAAAAGCCAUCCUCAGUUCGGAUUGGAGUCUGCAACUCGACUCCAUGAAGUUGGAAUCGCUAGUAAUCGCGGAUCAGCAUGCCGCGGUGAAUACGUUCCCGGGCCUU
rnacentral:rRNA from 1 species